CACUGUUCUACAUUCUGAAACUGAAGAAUGGAAUCAGAUUCAAUGUCCUACCACAGAAUAGCUCCACGAUUGGGAAUGUUAAACUUUUACCCCAAAAUUUUCUGGAUUUGAAUACAUGCUAGAAUAAGUCACGCAGUGGCUGAGUUGGAAGAUCUGAGUUGUAAUGCCAGCUUUGCUACAAAUACUAGGCAAAUCAUAAAUUUCUCUUGACUUCAAUUUCUUCAGGAAGAAGAAACAUUAGAUGCCUCCUUUCAGUCCACUCCAGCAAUGUGAGGCCAACCAAGCUGUGUGACAUGCUUGAAUAGCAAAGUAAUAGAAUGAUCCUGAUUGAUUCCAGAGACUCUGCAUUAAGUAUUUAUUUCCUAGCAAUGGAGGCUGAUGGCGAUGGUUUUGCCAAAUGCAGAUGAAAUAACAGGAUAUCCUCUUCAGCGUUCCUCAUAUUCACUAAGGGACAUUUUUCUUAAAAGAAAAAUUUUUUUUCUUUUCUACAUAAUUCUUCAUUUGUAAAUAACAUCUUUCAGAAUAGAAUGUACAUCAUAAUGUAGAAUCCUACAGCAUAAUGUAAAUACAAAAAAAAAGGAAAAAAAUACAGACUCCACUAAAAAAAUAAAGAACA
rnacentral:lncRNA from 1 species